CUGACCGGGUUAAUUCACUCCAGGACGGAAGGAAGCACACUUUGGGGACCGGACCUCUUUUGGCAGAACUUUGUGGCCUUACAUCUUAGCAAACAGGGAGCACGAUCUUGCUCUUUCACGCUUAGCUGGAGCAAUGGGAGGUCCAACAGCCUGGCAAGGGGCACAAGCCCUAGGACAGUGACAUCUUCUAUCCCAAGACCACAAAUUCUCAAAAAGCUGCCAAGUACUGGAGCCAGUAUGCUGACAUGGAAAGUGAGGUCUACUUUUCAGAAAGGACAGGUAAGAGGUGUGAUUUGGACUCUUCCCCUGCUGGAGCACCCCUCUACUUGGACAUUCAGUAUUGUGUUCUAGGGGUUCCAGGCCCUGGCACCUGCAUUGCUGCCUCCAUGGAUGGACUUGGCCAUGCAACACAGUGAUGAAAAAGCGAGGGUGUCACUGCAUGUACAGAAGAAGAGCAUCCUCAAGGCACAGGAAGGUGGACUUAGCCACAGCCUGGCACACUGAUUCUGCUUUGGAGGCCAAACAGGCUCAUUCACCAACCCCAGCCCCCAAGUUGGGAGACAGCCAUGACACACCUGCUGUGCAAGCUAUCCUCUUGGUCACUCACAUUUGAUGUGCCAGAGGUACCUUCUUACCUGAAGGGAAAAUGCAAGAAGAUGGGAAGGGACCUGCAUGUUCCAGAUUCAUAUGGAACUUGUCCUAGGAGGAGAAAACCCUUCCCGGCUCAAGCUACAGUUAAAUCAUCCACAGUGUGGCCCCAAAGUGCUGGGCACUGCACAGGAUGUCCCAGGAAUACAGACCCAACUCUCAAAAAGCUUCAGUGCUUUUUCUCCUAUUAAGAAUGAUACUUUUGAUGAAAAAUCCAAGACAACCAACUCAUCUAUUUCUUUUUCAUGUGAAAACACCAGAAAGCACAGGAACCAGAUCAUUUCCUUAAGCUAGCAUCUUGCCCAAAAGAUCUGUCUUGACAAUACUCUUUCUUACCUUGGGUCAGUGUUUCUAAAUGUGGCUGCACCUUAAAAUCACUUGGGGGCUUAGAAUCUGAUGUCGAGAUCCCCUCCCCCAGAGAUGUUGAUGUAUGCUGGUCUGGGGGACAGCCUGGCACUGGGAUUUUUAAAGCUCCUCAGGUUCUUCUACUGUGAAACUAAGGUUGAAAUGCACUGCUUUGGGAUGAGUCCUGGCAUCUGAUCCACAAGUCAGUGAAAAUCCUAAGAAGUCAGGACUUGGGGACACAUAGUCUAAAAGAGAGGAACCAUUGCCUGGUUUUGUGCUCAGCUGGAUAGCUGCCAUCUGGUGCAGGAUGGCAAAGCCCUGGGGGUUCUGACCAUUUGAAUAGAAGUUUCCAGUCCUGCUUUGCACACUAGCCUGGGGAAUGAAAACUCUUGAGUGGCACCAGAAGCAAUAGCCUUUCCACUAUGCAAUCUCAUUGGCCAAGUUGGGAAGUCAGUGGUUUAACUUGACAUAAACUACUGUAAGAAAUAAAUGUCAGUUCACCAAGUUUGGGUCAUUUAAAGUUGCAUGGGACUAACCAUCAUGGGGAAAAUGGCCUUUGACAUUCACCCAGAAUUUCCUGCCUGGCCUUAGUCCAUUUACGUACCAAUGGAUGUUUAUGAACCAGAAGACUGGAGUCCCUGAUGGUCCAUAUUCUUUUCUCCAGAGAGGUGUCUAUUUAUAGAAGGAACAAACCCUGUGCAGGAUGAGGGGGUUGGAUAAUAAUAUGUGUGAACACACUGAUCUGUCUGAACAGUUUCUUGGCUGUCUGCUUUCAAUGGUAAUAAAUAUCCACUAAAAGCUGUCUGCUGCAUGUGUUUUGGUAAAGUCUCACACUUCCCUGAAUGAAUACAUUCAGAAUGUAAGCACCACACACUUGACUAUAGAGACUCUGUUGUAUCCUGAAUUCUUAAGUUAUGCAGCUUAGCAGCUGUGAUAAUGUAAUGGUUUGCAAAAUAAUAGACUGGCAAUAUGUCAACCUGAAAUAACACAUCAAAUAAUGAAUAAUGUGGGUGUAAAAAGGUUUAAUUUAUACUGUGUUAAAAAUACUGCUCCAGAAAUAUCACACCAUUUUGGUCUUUCCAAGACAAAAAAAAACCCCUUUCACUUCAAUAUUCAAAUAAUGAUUGUAAAAGAGAAUUCCUUCUUGUUUCUUUUUUUCCCCUAACAAAAAUGUCAAAUUUAUGUUACUCUGUGAAGAGCCAUAU